UGUUAUCAAAAGAAAUCCCAUUGUUUUACAUUUUAAAGAUUUAUUUUUAUUUUUAAUUUGUGUGCGUGGGGCAUGUGCACAUGGCUGCAGGAGCCCCUGGAAUUCAGAAGUGUUAGAUCCCCCUUGGAGCUGGAGUUACAGGCAGAUGUGAGCUGCCUGAUGUGGGUGCUGGGAACCAAACCCUGGUUUUCCACAAGGACAACACACACCCUUAACCACUGGGCCAUCUGUUGUGCAUUUUUUGAAGAUAUCUUCAAUGGCUAGUUAACCAGGCCACUGGACUCUAAUUAAAGUUCUAUAUUUGAUCGGCUAUGAUAGGUAUAUCUCACUGUCUUGACCUGGAAAUUCUGAACACAUGUUUUUAGGAGAACAAAUAAGAAAAAAAUGUAAUUACUGCCUCGGUGUCCUUACCAAAGGUUGUGGCCCCGUGCAUCUCCAGUCUAAGCACAGCUGCCCUACACUCCAGGGAGGAUCUCCAAGCCCUAACCUGCCCUUGCCGCUUCUCUGUCAUCUGCUCAUGAAGGGACCUCGGCUGCUUUAUAGAGAACAGAGGGAGCUUUUCCCUUGGGAACCUUCAAAACUGGAAGAGACCCACAUGUUUUAGUGACAACUGUGACUGGAAAACUGAAGCCAUCUGAGGCCUGGCACUACUAGGAUGUUUCACAAGGAUUCUUUCCACUUUAAACCAGAAGCUCAGGGAUCCUACUGCUUCUGAUGUCCACGAGGUGUCUGCACGUGUGAGUCAUGGCUGGUGGUGAGAACAAAUCAGGUACAGAAAGUAUCUGAUACUCAUUAUCAGUUACUUAUUCAAGAUGGGUGAGGGUCUCUGCUCUUCUAGGAUGUCAUUGUUGCCCAGAUCAUCUUACCUCCCCACAUCUGACUCCAUCACACUCAAAUGCCCAAUAAUUUCACACUUUCCCUAGCCAUGCAGUUCUACAAGCACAGACAGAUGUGGCUUUUGAUGGAAGCAGGCCAGUCACUGCUGACAGGAGAGCAACAUUUUUCCCCAAGAAAAUGAAGGCCAUCAUGACUAAUGCAUGGGGACAUGGGAGUCUGGGCAUCCCUACAUACUAAUUCUUCUGGAAGGAUGUAUCAUUUUCUCCUGCUGGAAACAUGCAUAGAGUAACACUUUAAAGUCAGACUCCCUGUGGGGACUUUGCUUUCUCUUUUUAAAUUGAAUUUGAAUUUGGGGAAUAAUCAUAGAUUCACAUGUACUUGUAAGAAGAAAUAAUACAGAGCGAUCCCUCCUACCGGUUCAUGACUCUUCCUAGUGGUAGGACCUUGUAAACUAUACCAUAGUAUCAGAAUGUCAGCUUUCCUGAAGACUCCUGAGACUUUGCUGACCCGCAGAAGGAGACCUUCUGGGGAGUGAUGAGUUACUUGGCCUUGAAAGGAAAGGCUACAGUUAAGAAACUGGAGGGCAACAUCAGAAGUCAGGGCAACCUGGGCAGAAUUAUCAGGUCGGUUGCAAGAAUAUGAUGGCACUGUUCACUUGCUCACCAUGUAUCCAUGUUCUGCAAGCAUCCAAAGGGGUGGCAGAGCAACAGGCUACCUCAGGUCUCUCUGCCUGUUCUUGGAAAGCUGGUGGUGCCAUUGUGGGAGCCCCAUAAUAAUCCUAAUCACCUCCAAAUGUUGUUAACAUUACCUGUGUUAAAUGUCCAACACCUGUGUUUAGAGGGGACAUGUAGAAACUAUCUGCAGUGAGAGCUGAAAAUUCCCAUCUUAGUAAGUGCCUUUCUUCUGUCCAAGGAGGCUAACACUGUGUCUUCUCAGCCUGUCUCUGUCGGGAGAAACAGCUCCUCCCAGCCCGCCUUCAUCUUCCUGAGGGUGGCCUCUUUCAGCAUUCUCCAAAAUAACAGCUCUGCAUUGCUCUUCCAAUUAAAAUCAACAAAACAGUAAUGAUCUUCCUAUUAUUGAAAAAUGAAAAUAACAAAAAUGGGCAGGGGUAAGGAAGGAAGUUAAAAUUAACCACCAUGCCACAUAAAUAAAUAUUUUAAUGUGUGUUUAUUUCCUCGAAGACUUUUGUUAUUGUGAGAAUAUGCUUGGACUCUGUAUCAUCAGGUUCUGCUCCAUUGGAUUCAAUUAGCUGCAGAUUGAAAGUAUUUGGGGGAAAAUUGCAUCUAUAGUGAACAUUGAUGGACCCUUCCUCAUCGUUAUUCCCUAAACGGUAGAGAAUAAAAACCAUCUACAGCAUUGA